AGUGAACGCUGGCGGUAGGCCUAACACAUGCAAGUCGAACGGCAGCACAGGAGAGCUUGCUCUCUGGGUGGCGAGUGGCGGACGGGUGAGGAAUACAUCGGAAUCUACUUUUUCGUGGGGGAUAACGUAGGGAAACUUACGCUAAUACCGCGUACGACCUACGGGUGAAAGCAGGGGACCUUCGGGCCUUGCGCGAUUGAAUGAGCCGAUGUCGGAUUAGCUAGUUGGCGGGGUAAAGGCCCACCAAGGCGACGAUCCGUAGCUGGUCUGAGUGGAUGAUCAGGCACACUGGAAAUGAGACACGGUCCAGACUCCUACGGGAGGCAGCAGUGGGGAAUAUUGGACAAUGGGCGCAAGCCUGAGCCAGCCAUACCGCGUGGGUGAAGAAGGCCUUCGGGUUGUAAAGCCCUUUUGUUGGGAAGGAAAUCCAGCUGGCUAAUACCCGGUUGGGAUGACGGUACCCAAAGAAUAAGCACCGGCUAACUUCGUGCCAGCAGCCGCAGUAA
rnacentral:rRNA from 1 species